UAGAAAGUACUUUUGGUGUGCUUCGGCU
rnacentral:piRNA from 1 species